rnacentral:misc_RNA from 1 species
GAUGGAGAACGUAGCGAAAUGCGAUAAGUAGUGUGAAUUGCAGAAUUCAGUGAAUCAUCGAAUCUUUGAACGCACAUUGCGCCCCUUGGUAUUCCAUGGGGCAUGCCUGUUCGAGCGUCAUUUGUACCUUCAAGCUUUGCUUGGUGUUGGGUGUUUGUCCAUUCUCUUGCAGAGGGACUCGCCUUAAAGUAAUUGGCAGCCAGUGUUUUGGUUUUGAAGCGCAGCACAAGUCGCGAUUCAACGCUAUACGCCAGCUUCCACAAGCCUUUUUCACUUUUGACCUCGGAUCAGGUAGGGAUACCCGCUGAACUUAAGCAUAUCAAUAAGCGGAGGA